GUCUAUGGCCAUACCACCCUGAAGCAGGGUCGGGCCUAGUUAGAACUUAGAUGGGAGACCACCUGGGAAUACCAGGUGCUGUAGGCU
rnacentral:rRNA from 1 species